CCUACGGGAGGCAGCAGUGAGGAAUAUUGGUCAAUGGACGAGAGUCUGAACCAGCCAAGUAGCGUGAAGGAUGACUGCCCUAUGGGUUGUAAACUUCUUUUAUAUGGGAAUAAAAUGUUCCACGUGUGGGCUUUUGUAUGUACCAUAUGAAUAAGGAUCGGCUAACUCCGUGCCAGCAGCCGCGGUAAUACGGAGGAUCCGAGCGUUAUCCGGAUUUAUUGGGUUUAAAGGGAGCGUAGGUGGAUUGUUAAGUCAGUUGUGAAAGUUUGCGGCUCAACCGUAAAAUUGCAGUUGAUACUGGCAGUCUUGAGUACAGUUGAGGUAGGCGGAAUUCGUGGUGUAGCGGUGAAAUGCUUAGAUAUCACGAAGAACCCCGAUUGCGAAGGCAGCUUACUAAACUGUGACUGACAUUGAUGCUCGAAAGUGUGGGUAUCAAACAGGAUUAGAUACCCUUGUAGUC
rnacentral:rRNA from 1 species